CGCCUCUUGUUUUUAAUAAGAGGUCCAGCCUGCCCAGUGACCCUGUUCAACGGCCGCGGUAUCCUAACCGUGCGAAGGUAGCGUAAUCACUUGUUCUUUAAAUGAGGACUAGUAUGAAUGGCCCCACGAAGGCUACACUGUCUCCUUUUCUUAAUCAAUGAAAUUAAUCUUCCCGUGAAGAAGCGGGAAUAUUCAUAUAAGACGAGAAGACCCUAUGGAGCUUUAAACUAUCGAAACAUUUGCUUCGCAUUUCUCACGCCCCUGGGCCUUUUUAAUUAUUCAAGCAUCUUUAUUUCAAGUUUUAGGUUGGGGUGACCACGGAGUAAAAUUUAACCUCCAUGAUGUAAGAGACUUCGCUCUUAGCCAAAAACCACUUUUUUAAGCACCAAUAAAUUGACUCUCAUUGACCCAAUUAUUUGAUCAACGAACCAAGUUACCCUAGGGAUAACAGCGCAAUCUACUUCAAGAGCCCAUAUCGACAAGUAGGUUUACGACCUCGAUGUUGGAUCAGGGUAUCCUAGUGGUGCAGCCGCUACUGAUGGUUCGUUUGUUCAACGAUUAAAACCCU
rnacentral:rRNA from 1 species